rnacentral:rRNA from 1 species
AAUCAACGCUGGCGGCGUGCCUAACACAUGCAAGUCGAACGAGAAAGCGGGGGCAACUCCGUGAGUAAAGUGGCGACCGGGUGAGUAACACGUGACCAAUCUACCCUCGAGUGGGGGAUAACUCCGGGAAACCGGAGCUAAUACCGCAUAACAUCUUUGGAACCCAGGUUCUGAAGAUCAAGGGAGCAAUUCGCUUGAGGAGGAGGUCGCGGCUGAUUAGCUAGUUGGCGGGGUAAUGGCCCACCAAGGCGAAGAUCGGUAGCCGGCCGGAGAGGGCGCACGGCCACACUGGAACUGAAACACGGUCCAGACUCCUACGGGAGGCAGCAGUGGGGAAUUUUGCGCAAUGGGGGAAACCCUGACGCAGCAACGCCGCGUGGAGGAUGAAGUCCCUUGGGACGUAAACUCCUUUCGACCGGGAAGAUGAUGACGGUACCGGAUGAAGAAGCACCGGCUAACUCUGUGCCAGCCGCCGCCGUAACAC